CUUGUCAUGUAUGGCCUUUGCGGUGUACAGAAAUAAAUGUGUUGAAUGAAAAAAAAUACAGGGUGGCCAGAGAAGAUCUUACUGAUCAGGAGUCACUUGCACAAAGAUUUGAGAGAAGUGAGGGAACGAGUCAUGUGAGGAAAGAACAGUCCAGGUAGAGGGAAUCACAAGCGCAAAGGCAGUAAGCCUGGAGCACAUCUGGCACAUCCGAGCAAGAGCAAGGAGGCCAGCAUGGCUGGAGUGAUGUGAACAAGAGGGAGAGUGGUAGGUCUCGAGGUGAGAUCAGACGGUUCCCUGGGCAGAAUGAGCCAGUGGUGGGACACUGUGUAGGGCUUGGUAGUUGUUCAUAAGGAUUUUGGCUUUUAUGUAAGGGAGUGGAAAGUAAUGGAGGACCUGACUUAAGUCAUGUUUUAAAGGAAUCAUUCAGGCUGUACGGAGUUAAGGGCAGAAUGAGGGAGACCAAUUACAAAACUGUUAUAAGAAUCUAGAUGAGAAACGAUGGAGGCAAUGUUUAUGGUGGAAGCAGAGAAGGUGGAGACGUGGGGUUGGAUCCUGAAGAUAUUUUGAACCUGGAUCAAUAAACCUGAUCAAUGUUGGAGUAUUCAUGUUCUGGGGAGGCAGAUCUUAGGAAAGGCUGAGGGUAAUUCCCAGAGACGGAUAUCAGCCAUCAACAUUCCUAGGAACUGGGAAAACAGGUGGCUUGGUCCUCUAAGGGGCAUCUGGACACAGUAUCCACUUCAUCUAUUUCUACAGCUUCCAAUGAGGUACCCAGAGUUAUGAUUGUUAUUCCCAUUUUAUACAUAAGAAGACUGAAGCUUAAAUAGAUUAAAUAGCUAAUUCAAAUUCUCAAGGUUGCAAAUGAUGCAUCUAAGUCUUAAAUAGGUCUUCUGAUGCUGUGUUUUGCCAGCACUUUUUCCUCAGUCACAUAACCCACUUACCAGUUCCUGUCACAGGAGUCUACUUAUAAAGUUGAUGACCAGUUUUCACUUGCAAUGCUCAAGUGCUUGCUCUUGGAUUGAGCUGCUGUGAUUAAACCCCAGGCUCUGAUGUAUGGUCAACCUGACGAUCUUUGGCCAUGAGCAUAGGGAUGGGCUAGCAUACACUUGUAUGUGGUGGAGUGUGCACCUUGCGUCCUCUUCAGUUUCUUCUUUCUUUUCUCCCUUCCUUCCUUCCCUUGACCAGCUGUAAUAAUGAUAACCACAUUUCGUGCCCAUAAAAGUACUAUGUAUUCUUUAUGAAUUUUCCCAUUUAUUUUAUUUCUGAAAGUAUGAAUACAAAAGCUAGUGCAAGAACUUGAGAAUGGAGCCUUGGAAGGAGAAAGGUUUGAGAUGGAAGAAGUUCCCCUUUGCACAUGCUCCUUCAGAGAUGCCCUUGGGCCAUUUAAGAUGAAAGAUACAAAGCUUUGGCUCAGAGAAAUCUAGAUAGAGACAUAAAUUUGAGAGUUUCUGAACAUUCUGUUUUAAAAUUUGUUUCCUAAACCUCUAACUGGCAAUCUGUGAAUUGGUUUCUAGUUGUUUCUAACUCUGUGCGUGUGAUUGUCACAGGUAAGUUGAACAAACAAAAAUUACAUUUAAGAGAAGCAUUACCUUAUUUUGACUCUCACUAUGUCUUUAAAUUAUUCCAUGGAGGUUUUCUUCUUCAGAUGCUGGCAGAUCCCAGGGCUUUUCUCUUUAUUCUUAGAAAAUGCCCAUCCUUACAGUGAUUUUUGGGUUGCAGUCAUAGUCUCAAUUUCAAACAUUUAAUGUCCAGUCCAAGGUAUUAUUCAAUGUGUCUGACUUGGUUUAACAUCAAAAUAUUGGCCUUUUCCGGGCACAGACCUGGGUCAGUGGGGAAGCUGGAGGGCAGUGAAGGGACAGGACUCCCCUCUUUCACUAGCUUCUGUUUCCUGCAUUGGGAGGAUGGAUAAGGGGAUAGGGCUGUUCUUACUGUGCUGGGUGGCUUCACACCCUAGGCUUUGCAUGGUUCUGUCUGGUUCUGUUUGUGGGGCAUAGUUUGGGUUCUUUGUAGUUUCUGGGUUGGCUCCUCUCACCUGAAAUUGCCUGAAGAAAGAGUGAGGCUCUAUUCUGGGUGGCCACCGUCGCUCCUUUCUCAGCUCAGGGGCAUUGGUAGUACCCCCCAACCAGCCUCUUUCUGCAGACAUCUCCUUGCCCACCCAGGAAGCUCUAUUGACCAGAACAGGACUCAAGUACUCACACCGACUCUCCCUCUGUCCUAAUGGCCCAUACCAGGCCUGGCAUAGGAGUGUGGGCCAUAGUGCCUCAGUCACAAGAGCAGUGUCAGCCCUUCCCCUGCCUGUUAGAUUUCCUGUGGUGGAGUCAGGCCACACCUGCAGUCCUCGUCAGCUUUCUCAGGCGAGAAUGGGGAGCCUGUUCCUGCACUUUGAAAUUUCAGGGCAGGUAGGCCAAGCUCUCCAAGGUGAGGGAGGAGCUGUGUGACUCUUCCUCUUUUCCUACUGAGGAGGAGAAUGAUUCUUUGAUAAAGGAAUGAUAGGAAAUAAUUGUCCUUCCACUACACUUUUCUUCUCUGUUCCUCACGUACAUGGGUAAAAAUACCCUGAAGUGAGAAAUAAAAGUGACAUUAGGAGGUUGCUUAGGCAGCAAGUUUGAAGGAAUUCAUGACGUUCUGGAGGAAUGGCCGCUAUGAUUACCUCCACAGGAAGGAGCCUUCAGAGAAGCUGGAGGAGGCAGCAAGGGAGUGGGUGCUGUCACUUUUUUUUUAUAGCCGUUUCUUCCCUUACCUCAAAUAACCUGGUAUGGGGAUGUGGUGGCUCUGUCUUCCUGCCUUAUUAUGUGCUGUGAGAUUCCUUAGGCCACGGAGCGCUCGCCGCACACCGAUGGGGCAGCCGGCACUGGGGAGAGGAGACGGCUGAGGGGCUGGGGACGGGCUGAGCUCCUGACUCUCAGAAGGUCCUCCUCAUGCCUGCAAAUUUUGCUCCUCCACAACUGCAAAGUAAAGAGAAAUAGGUAAUUUCGUGGGUGGGAAAACCAUUCUCAACUGCAAAAAAUUUGCUUAUAAGAUUCCCAGAGUUUUAGCUCACAAGUCAGAAAUUUCACACUUAACAUGAAAUUGGCGAGAAGCCCAGAAGUCGCCAUUUUUGCUUAGGUACCAAAAUUCUAGGUCGAUAUACUUAAAGAGUAACCAGGGAACUAAAAUGUCCUUUGGACUUAAGAUUUGUUUACAUAUGAUCCAUUGACAUGAUUAUUUACUUACAAAAUGAAUUUGGAGUUGAUUUUGUUAUUUUGAAAAGGUCCAGGAAUCACACAUUCAUUUAUUUCUAAGACAUCUUCUGAUCACAAAGCAUUGAAAUUCUUACAAAGAUGUAUAUAAUUAAUGAUCUGUAGGCAUAGUUUCACAUCUUACAUAUUCUUUGUGAUAAUUAAAUAUUAUAGCGUUUUUCCCUAACUGGAUGCACUAGAAUCUUAUUAAGUGGUUAAGUCAGUUGAAUAAAAGCGUCUUAGAGGGCUUAAUCCUCUCCAAUUGGAUAUGGUAAUUUAAUACUUGCUACACUUCUACGGCGGGCUGUGAGCUGCAUAGGAUGAACCAAGACAUCAUUAUCUGCUCCCAUCAUCCAGUACAUGUGUAUGCCCACCUGCACAUGCAGGCUCCACAUAGGCAAUACGCCUUUCAACAAUUAUACUCAAUACUCAUUAUCUGUGAAUCCUGUAUUUGCAAAGUUGCCUAUUCACUAAAAUUUAUUUGUAACCCCCAAAUCAAUACUUGCAGCGUUUUUGCAGUCAUUUGAGGACAUUUGAGUUGCCAAAGGGGCACAUUCUCGGCAGAGGUCAAACCAGGUGACAUUCUGCCUUCUUGUUUCAGCUCUCCUACUAUAGACAAGUAUCCUUUUCACAGUCUGGUCAGUGCCCUGUUUUCCACAUUCAUGAGAUUUUUAUUUGCAAUUUUGAUGUUUAAAAGGCCCUUAAAUGUGGUGAAGUGCUGUCUAGCAUUCCUAAGCACAAAAAGUCUGGGAUGUGCCUUAGGGAGAAAAGGUGUGUGUUAGCUAAGCUUCAUUCAGGCAUGAGUUACAAUGUUAUUGUCUGUCAGUUCAACAUUAAUGAGUCAACUGUAUCUAUUAAUAAACGGUCUUACAAACAUAGAGAACAAGGUUAUGUAUUGAUUGGUUGGUGAAAUGUGUGACUAGAGGCUCCUGGGAACCUAACUUUGUGUUUCUCUUAGGAACAGUGGUUCCGUAUUCACGAAUUCAGUGUUAACAGUGACUUUAUAGAACAUACUACUGCAAAUAACAAGAAUCAACUGUACCUGGUUUUGAUUGAUAUAUUUGCUGGAGUAUCUCUUACUCUUUUGCCUACUGAAUUUGAUGUAUUUAUUUAGAUAAGCCCCUUUAUUCAUUCAACACAUUUUUACUAGGUGCUUCCUAUAUGCCAGGCCCUGUUGGGUAUUGGUGAUAAAACGGGGAGUAAAAAUAGCCACAGUCCCUGUCGUACAGGCUAGAGGAAAAGACAGGUUCCGAAUACAGAGGUCUAUGUCAAAUUAUAAAAAUGGGACAAUGCUUUAAAGGCAAAGCACAGGGCAUUAGGAGCCAGAGCGUGUAUCAGAGAGACCUGUCACUAUCUGAUGGUGGUAGGGCGUGAAGUUGAGCUAAGAUCUGAGGGAGGAAAAGCAGCGAGUUAGGCGUGGGGUAGAGGUGUGGGUGAGCUUCCCAGGCAGAGGCGGCAGCACAUGCACAGACUCUGUGGCAGGAGGGUCCAUGGCACCUCCAGGGAACUGAAAGCACGAGAGUGGCUGGGGCCUGGAGACUGAGGAGGGUCUGGAGUGGCUCCAAGUGUAAGCGGGGAACAGUCACACGGAAGCUUGCAAGAUCACUGACGACUCGGGUUUUAUCUAAACAGCCUAGUUACAGGACUCCAUAUGGUUCUGGAAAUACAAAUGUGAAAGGAACAGUCUUUGCUUUUUGGAGUCUACUGGAAGAGAUGGACAUACAAACUAACCUAACCUGACACACUAUUAGGGAAAGUUUCCAUAAGCUGCUGUGAGAGGAAGAAAAAAUACCAGGAAGAUUUUCCAAAGGAAGAGCCAUUGAAGGCUUGAAGGAAGAGUUGAGAUUGCCCAGACACAUGGGUCAACAUGUGUCAUAGAAGGCAGGCAUUAAAAACAUGGCAUAUUUGGAAGAGGGUCGUGAAUGAGUGGAGAAAGAUAAAAGUCUUGCAUCAGGAGGCUUUUUUAUUCCUCAGAGUCUGCAUUUUGGGAUGGAAAAUUGUGUUGGCUAUGCAAGGAGAGACACUAUGAAUGAGGCUACAGUGAUGACUUUCAAUCAGGUGCCUCCAAUGGGCCGUUGAGAGAGUACUGAGCACGGGGAUGUGGAUAUUGACCAGUGUGAGCAUACAGGGAGCACAGGGUGCUGAAAUGACGAUGUGAAGACUUAGCCAGAUCACCUUCUUCUUCAUGUGAUUCUCUUCUGAAGUGGAGGGUGGCAUGACUGCACAACUCUACACAGGAACUUCAACUGAUAAGCAACAAUGCCUCUCCUCUGUGAAUCAUUAAAUUGGCCCUAGUGAUUUAAGAUGGAAAUAUCCGUUUAUUGGAUUUAAAUGUAGGUCUCAUUUGCUGGUGCCCCAAGAAGACUUGGGAAAUGAAGGGCAACAAAGCCAGAGCAAACUCAUGAAAUACACUUUGGCCUCAAGAAGAAAGCUUUUGAAAUCUGUGAAGUGUGAUUUCAGAUGUCAGCGUGCUUUGGGGGUUGGGAUGAGCAAGUUCCACUCCUCUCCUUUGGAAAGCUGGGCAGCGUUUGGAGGUAAUCACUCAAAAGCACAUCAUCCUCAUUAAGGGUUCUAGCAAUUAAGAGGAGUGAGUUCUUGGUGGAUGUAGUGAGACGAGGUGGGAUAACGUAGAGUUUGGGGGGAGGGGGCAUUGACUUGGCACUUCUGCACCCGUGGUUGGGGUAGAGACAAUUUACAUUUUGGCAUAAUUUUUGACAAAGUUGGGGAUGAAUGGUUGAAUACUUUGAUGUGGCAUUUACAUUCAGCUGAGAGUUCAAUGUAGAAAGCCUAUAAUUAAGAUAUUUAGCAACAUGGGAUUUCGAACAUUCAUGGUUUCUCUUGUGAAGAACACGGGGCAGCAGGUUUAAGGGUGCCAGUGGCCCCAGAAGGUGGACAGAAGACUAAGGGAAUAUUCGUAUUUUUCUGUCUCAUGUUGGCUAAUCAAAAUGUUCCUUCUGUUUUCCUCUCAGAAAUCAUCAGUGUAUCAGAAAACACGCAUCUCUAUGAUCUAUCCUGAAUCCAAAUAGGAAAAAAUGAAAUGAGUGCUUUUCCCCCAUUCAGAAAUCUUUUUUAUUGCACCAUGAAGAAAUAAAUGUCUACCAAAGGGAAAUGAAGAGGAGCUAAGCGGAGAAUCUAAUUGCCCACUUCAAUCACUCCCACACAAAAUGCCUGGCUAAAGGAUGGGCAGGCAGAGCAGCAGCAUUUUGGCAAAAAUUUUAAAUAAAAAGGGAAAAAAUUGUUCCAGCAGGAGUUCUGUAGAAAAAUGGAGACAGCUGCUGCAUUUUCUCCAGCCCGCUAUCUCUUUCAGCCAGACCAAAGACAAUCCAGCUCUUGGCUUAAUUAAUCACUUGCUGGUUAUGAUUGUGGAGGAAAGUGGGGCUCACUAUUGCUCUCUUAGCCUAGGAGCAAAAUUUCCAAAGAGAAGUGGAAUGUGUAUCAAUGGAGGAAAAGAAACUCUUCCCAAGAGACCAGAAUGGGAUUCUUUCUAGUGUUUCCUCCUCAGUGGCUUUCACUUUCAUUUUAAGGCAAGUUUGCACAGAGCCCAUUCUCCAUUCAGUCCAACCUCUAAGCACCCACAUAAACUCAAACUCAGAUUAACAAUACUAUCUCUUUUUUUUUGAGGAAGAUUAGCCCUGAGCUAACAUCUGCUGCCAAUCCUCCUCUUUUUGCUGAGGAAGA